UACGUAGGGGGCAAGCGUUGUCCGGAUUUAUUGGGCGUAAAGAGCGUGUAGGCGGCCAGGUAGGUCAGCUGUGAAAACUCGAGGCUCAACCUCGAGACGUCGGUUGAAACCACCUGGCUAGAGUCCGGAAGAGGAGAGUGGAAUUCCUGGUGUAGCGGUGAAAUGCGCAGAUAUCAGGAGGAACACCGGUGGCGAAGGCGGCUCUCUGGGCCUGUCCUGACGCUCAGGCGCGAAAGCUAGGGGAGCAAACAGG
rnacentral:rRNA from 1 species